ACCUGGCUAGCUCAGUCGGUAGAGCAUGAGAUUCUUCAUCUCAGGGUUGUGGGUUUGAGCCCCACGUUAGGCA
rnacentral:tRNA from 1 species